AGUAACAAUAGCAAAAGGGAUCACCUGAAUCCAUUCCGAACUCAGUAGUUAAGCCUUUUUACGCCGAAGAUACUAGAAAUAGGAAAAUAGGGAGUUACUC
rnacentral:rRNA from 15 species